rnacentral:misc_RNA from 1 species
UCCGGUUUGACACCGGCAGUCUCGCUAGAGUCCUCAGCAUUACCUGUUAGUAACUAACGACAAGGGUUGCGCUCGUUAAGGGACUUAACCCGACGCUUCACAGCACGAGCUGACGACAGCCAUGCAGCACCUGUUCAUGUUGUACCCUUGCGGGCCUCAUCGACGUUUCUGCCGACUAAUCCAUGUAUGUCAAACCCAGGUAAGGUUCUGCGCGUUGCUUCGAAUUGAGCCACAUGCUCCACCGCUUGUGUGAGCCCCCGUCAAUUCCUUUGAGUUUUAGCCUUGCGACCGUACUCCCCAGGCGGUAUGCUUAUCAAUUUCUCUACAAUCCGAACGGCGUCAGAGCCGCUCUGAUUCAGCAUACAUCGUUUAGGGCGUGGACUAC